CUUACGCUCGAAACCUGCCAGUUUUGGAAAACCUGGCAGGCAGGUUUUGAGAAACCUGCCGGUUUUUCCAUCUUUAAAUUCCAACACUUCUUAUCAUAUCGCGAAGGUUAUGGCACCAUUAAGCUGUUGGAAGUUGCCGAUCACUGGUGGAAUCGCCGCCCAUGGUCAUGGCCUCUUUUUUGCUUGAAUCUCGUCCCAAAUCCUGUUGAACUGGUAAUCUUCCUCGUCCAAUCAUCCAAAAGAGGCUCCCAGAAGAUCAGCAUUAGCAGCCACCUAUAAAUCAAUCCUUGGGAGGUACCAAAUUCCGCUUAUCCAAGAACCAACUCAGGACAAGAAAACAACACUAAGAAUUCAAUUUACCAUGUACUGCAGCCUCCAAAACCCAUCUAACCUUCACCAUUUGUUGAACUAACCCAGAACUAAAGCUGCACUGAACAAUACCAAAGCUCUAGGUUCUGAUCAGUCUGCUACAAGACUACGGGAACUCAGAAAAUACAUUCGAGCUAAACCAGGCACCUUUCAGGUCUGAUCGGGUCAACAGAUGAAGUGUAGCCCCGGAGAUCUAUUCAACUCGAGGGAUCGGUGGGGGAUUCUUUAGUCUCUCGCUGUGCUGGCUUCAUAAAUACGUGCUGGUGAGGACUGAAAAGUGCUGCAAAGGGUGUUGAAGCAUGCUUGAUGUGUGAAAAUUUUAGUUUGUAAAAGACUAGUUUAUACAAAAGUUGACCUCAAUUGACUUUUCUAGUUUUUUGGUUGGUUUUUGUAGUUUUGCAUAGGUAACUGGAGCUUAUUUUUGAACUGUUAUAUCAGAUGGGAAAAUUUAAGUGUAACACGGGCUAAUUGUUGAACUAUUAUAGCAGAUGUGCAAAUUUUACGAGAUUUUCGAAAUGAAUGCACAUAUUUGUGUAAAAGAACUUGAUCUGCAGUA